GCAAGAGAAUUUGAUAAUCGCGCGUAAUUAACUUUUGCAAAAAGAGAGCAAUCCAAUUGGUUGAUUUUUACCACAAAGAAAUAUCCUUUGUCUUUUUUUGUCAACUUUAAAAUUUAACAUAAUCACAGUUGGACAAGAAAUCAUUUCCACUUUUAAUAAGUCUUAUUUUUAAUUGUUUUCCUACUCUUAUUAUAAUAAACUGUAGUUGGGUCCUAUUUAUUCAAACAAUGGUAAGGUCAAUGGUAAAAAGUUGGAACAAUCACACCAGACCUUCUAUGUUGAGUGGUUUCAAUUGCUUUUUUUUGGUGGAAACGGUGAUUGUGGAUUGGUUACUCAAUAUUUAAUGCCAAUAAUGGUAAUAUCUCAUGAAUGUCUCAUCCCAUUCCACAUGCUUGAUUGCCGAAGAUUCUCGAACUACAAGAUAUGAAAUCAUCAACUUGAAAUACCAUUUAAAUGGAUCUAGUAAUGAUAUUCUUGUAUUUCAAUGUCACAUAUGGGUUUAACUGUCACUUCUUCCAGUGAAGUCUAGGAAUGGCAAGGUUUCCGAUAAGCCUCAAAGGGAUAAAAGGUGAACUGGUUGGAAAUGGUUAAUAGGCAACUUGGAGGCUCCUAUUGAGUUAUCAGUCGACAUCAGCAUCAUAAGUUGUCCAGUUUUAUUAAAUGAUUGCCCUUCAAUCAAUGCUGCUCGGAGACAGUCAACCUUGUUCAAAGGAAGUUUUGGUGUCCAAUAAACCAACAAACCAGCAAACCAGAUAAACCAUCAACUACAAAGGGUGAACUUAGCAAUGGAAGGCUUAACCUUAGGUUACUUUCAUCUACAUUUUCACCCGAUUACUGGUGAAGAAUGCUUGUUUCUUCAACAGUCUGUAAACUAAAAGAUGGUGAAGACGAAACAUUUCAAUUAGCUGAACAGUGAUUAAUUAGAUUAAAUCGAAGAAAGUGGCCUUCAUCUCAUUUUUAGUUGAAAUGUGUUUUGCUUUGUGUAUGUUAGUUGGAGCUGGAUCGCGUCUAGGUCAACUUUCAAUAAGCGGAAUCAAUGAAUAAGUGAUAUUUGCAUGUCUUUAGGGUAAAAAUUUAAACCAUCAUAAUCAUCAUAAUCCUUAUAAUCCUCAUCAUUAUACGCUUUCUCUUUCUCUCCUCUAAAAUAAGCGAGAUGGAGAAGGUAAACAUUGAAAAAGUAGUCAUGAUCAUGAAAAGUAAUAGAAGGAGAAAAAAGUGAAAACCUGGAAGCGAUUUUAUCUUCUUCAUUCUCUUUCUUCAUUCUAUCACAGCAACAGCACCAAUAAUGAUAACCAUAAUAAUAAUAAUAAUAAUAAUUUGUUAAUCAUUAUCAAAAUAUUGGAAAGGUCAAAAUUAAUCAGCAAAUACGAUCAAAACCCGGAAUCGCAGUUAACCUUUUUUUCUCGAUUAAAGCUGCUUGUUUUUAAGUUUCAACUGUUUUGUAGCAGUAAAAGGCCAACUAUAAAAAAACUAACAACACCUUUGACCUCAAGUGACAGGUUAUAUCAUUUUUAAUAAUAGCUUGAAGCUAAGUAUUGAGAAAGCGAAACAAAUAAUUAAUCUAAAUUACCACUUAACUACCAAAACAGUGAAAGAAACAAUGGCAAUUGAAAGGUAAAAUAUAGUUAAUCGUACAACUGUUUGAAUCAUUUCAUGAUGAAUGAAAAUACUAUUGUAAAUUAGCGACUCUUUUUUAAACGGCAAUUUGUUUUCUGUCGUUAAUAAAAUUAGUUAAGUGAUAAACUAAUCAUUGACAACAAAUUAGCUUAAUAAAUGUAAAUUUUAAAUUUUAAAAUUAAAUUUCAGGUUUCAUUAGGUACUGCCAUCUUGUAUUAAUGAGCACAAGUAAUAUACAAAACAACGCGUUUUUUGUUUCAAGAAAAGUGAAUUUUCUCGUUUUUUCAAUUUAAUUAUGUGAUUAUAAAAUUAUUACUGAACUUUAAUUUAUGGCAGAACAAUUACCUUCUAAUAUUAAGUUUUAAUUAGUCAGAUUAUGCGACUUUUUUUAUGGUUAAUCGACUGCAAGUACAAGUUUUAUGUUCAUGGAUUGUUAACACUUUUUACUUAAAUCAUCAAAUCGGUUUGUUACUAACUGUCUGCUUCUCAGUACUCAUUGGGUUUAUCAUUGUGACAUAUAAUAUCAUUGUCAUGUAAUCUAAUUGUCAUUAAAUAAAUGCUUCUUUAUUGUGCUUCUCUUCGUGGUUGGUUUAAGAUUUCAAUAUUUGAUCUCAACAAGGAAUACAUCACUUCAAGUAGUGCAGUAUUACAAUAUGAAUUUUCUGGUUGGUGAAAAGGUUCAUCAUCUCUUAUUCAAGCUUACUCCUGCUCACAGUUAGAACGCGAUUAUUUGAUAAGUAAUUUGUAUCAAAAGAUCAACAUCCUACCUGAAACACUUGAUGAAAAAUGAAUUUAUCUGCAUUUGGUGUAGCCGUUGAAAAAUCUUACUUCUUAUUGUUCUUUCAGACAAUUGAUCAGUUGAACAAGUUGGUAAAAUUAUGGUUUGUUGGAAAACCAAUUUCAGUGUAAACCAGGUCAUUUAACAGAAAUAUUAAACAGUUGGAAGGUGGGACUCUACAUGCAACCAAAUCUCCAUCAUCUGGUCAUGAUAAUACAACCAAAGAGCUAAAGAAAUCAUUUUAUUUCUAAUUAAGAACAAUUGUGAUUGUUACAAAUUCCAAUAAACAAACAUCAUCUGGUAAUGAAUUUUAAAAAGGCUGAGAGUUUCCUCAUCAAAUGUUAACUGUUUCAUGGACUAAUAUUAGUCACUUUAUUAGCUUUACUAUAUUAUUGAUUGUUUAAAUAUUCAAAUUCAUUCAGAGUUAUCAUUAUCUUGAACAUAUUAGAAGGUUGAAAAGAUUGACUGUUUUGCCUUACUUUUUGCUAAUCAAGUAAUUAUCGAGAAUGAUUAUCAUUGGAAAUGACAAAAGCUUACAAUUUUGCUUCCGAUUUAAUCAGGUUUCUAACAAAAGCUUCAAAUUAUCAUUCCUAUGAUAAUAAUUUGAAAAUAUUUUACAAUAACGUAAUCCAAUGAAUUAAUUUGGUCCUUAUUCUGACUUCAUCUCUUAUCUUUCCUUGGAUUAUGAUCAAAAUGUGCAACUAGAUUUGAUUUCAAAUCAACUGUAAACAGUAUAUUAAUACUGAAAGGAUUAAAGUCGCAUUUAUUAAUUUUUUCAAUUGAGUAAAAAUUUAUUCAAUUGUGAUACUCGAACGCCAUCUGUAGAGAUCUCUCGCUACUGAUAAUAAAACGAUUUUUAAUUCAAAAUUGAUAAUUUUACACCAACCUCGUAACUCUGCUUAUUUCUAGUUAUCUUUAUUGUCUAAUUUAAAUCUAAAUCAAUUUAUCAGCUUAAUUUGGUUAAUGAAAAUUUAUAAAAGCGUUUUAAAAUUUUCUUGAAGGGUGAUCAAAAUAUGUGUGAAAUUGAAAUCUAAUCUCCAUUGGCAUCACCAUGAAUGGCACCUUUUGAUCUUCAUUCUUGUUGGUUCAGUUAUUAUAAUUAUUAUUGCUUUUUAUAUCUCGAUAGACGCGUUAUAAAAUCUGCAUUCUGAUCAAUUCAUGAAUUUAACAGUUAAAAGUUAAAGGUUAUUACAUUAAAAAGAAAGGAUGACCCGGAUAAAGUUAUAUUGUACAAGAUUUUCAAGAGGCGAGACAACAAAAGAGUGAUAGACAACGAUAACAACAUGAUGUAAUAAUAACAUGGAGAUUGCAAAAUUUGAUUACUUU